rnacentral:lncRNA from 13 species
CAUGCUGGCACCAUGUUCACAAGGCCACCAGUGGCUGGGGAGGUCUUGGGAAGACCAGUCCAGUGGAAGCCCCAGUUAAAGGAGAUGAAGCUAUAGUCACUGGAGAAACUGAACCGAGGAUGGAUGAGAGCUCCAACCAGGACACACAAGAGGAUGACCAGCUGAGGUUAAGUGACAUUGAGUGGCUCCAAUCCACAAGGUUGUAUUAGUUUCUCCUCUAGUAGUAGGAGAUAUUUAUCAAAUCUCAGGACCAUUUCUUUAAAGGGGAACUUGAUUUGUUCACCUGCCAUCAAAUGCCCCAAGAAGCCCCAACACAGUCACCUGCUGCUCUGUGAUUAUUUCCACAACCUGUGAGUCUCACCAGAGGCCAUUAGCUAGUUCUGGCCCCGAAUUCUUCUUCCUCUAGCCAGACUGGUUGCACAGGAUCUUGAGCUCUCCCUGGUGCUCACAAAUUGAUAAAUUGGUAUUUUGUUCUGUUUUUCUCUUUUCUUAAGAAGUUGCUUUCUUUUGAAAAGAUGGAUGUUACUGUAGCCUCUCCAUCCCCCAACCUCAGUCUUCCACAUGUUCUCAAAAAUAAUAGCUAAGUGUUUUGCAACAACACUUAUCAACUCUUUAAGUCUCCCACUUUGCUGGUUUGAAUCUACAUGACUUCAAACAAUUUUUCCUCUAUGGAGUGUAAUUUGACACAUACUUUUCCACCCAUGGGAGGUGAUACUUGUCUUGGUCUGUGAUUACGGUAAUUCUUUUAUAAAUAUAAACUAAUCAAGUUGCAUGAACUAAGAACCUACUUUGAAACUAACACUUAAAGGUGCCAAAAGAUUAUAAAAGAUUAUUAUUUGUUGCAAAAGUGUGUUAGUGUAGACUCCAGUGUGAGUGGGUGUGACCAAAGUAAUAUUGAUACAUGGUUGAAAGGUAUAAAGUAGGUUGACAAACGCAAAAUUACAAAUCAGCUUCUGAACUCCACGGGUGUCGUGAUCAGCAGUGUAUCCUUCAACCAAAAUAGUUUUUCAUAUCCUCAGGGAAUUUUUGGCUUUCAUUUUUACCUUUUUGGUAUUCUCAUGUACCUUUUAGGCCAUUGUAUGCAUUCACUCACUCAUGCUUUCAUUCCAUAAUUAUAUUCUGAA